UUUCGAAUCAUUCACAAUGGGCGAAAGCCUGAUGGUGCGACGCCGCGUGAGGGAUGAAGGUCUUCGGAUUGUAAACCUCUGUCACUGGGGAAGAAACGCUUUGAGUUAAUAGUUCAAAGCCUGACUUAACCCGGAGAGGAAGCAGUGGCUAACUCUGUGCCAGCAGCCGCGGUAAUACAGAGACUGCAAGCGUUAUUCGGAUUCACUGGGCGUAAAGGGUGCGCAGGCGGUUGGGUGUGUCAGAUGUGAAAUCCCGAGGCUUAACCUCGGAACUGCGUCUGAAACUACUCGACUAGAGUACUGGAGAGGGUAACGGAAUUCACGGUGUAGCAGUGAAAUGCGUAGAUAUCGUGAGGAACACCAGAGGCGAAGGCGGUUACCUGGACAGUUACUGACGCUCAGGCACGAAAGCAUGGGGAGCAAAAGGGAUUAGAUACCCCCGUAGUCC
rnacentral:rRNA from 1 species